rnacentral:rRNA from 1 species
AGAAUCAACGCUGGCGGCGUGCCUAACACAUGCAAGUCGAGCGAGAAAGUGGAGCAAUCCAUGAGUAAAGUGGCGCACGGGUGAGUAACACGUGACUAACCUACCCUGGAGUGGGGGAUAACUGAGGGAAACCUUAGCUAAUACCGCAUAAUACCUACGGGUCAAAGGAGCAAUUCGCUUCAGGAGGGGGUCGCGGCCGAUUAGUUAGUUGGCGGGGUAAUGGCCCACCAAGACAGUGAUCGGUA